GUUAAAGUCAGUGGGGAGAAGCACUGGAUUUUAUUUGUAAACCAAGACUCCGUGAGUGAUCAGCAAGAGCGAGCUACUGUUCGCAAUUAUUUCACAUUUCGAACUUUACAAUCUAUAUUUUACAGCAUUCUCUUUGGAAAGUGUUCCAGUCUCAGAGAGUUGUUUACUUCGUGCCUGCUACGAGCACAUCAUGACAUGCACCAUGGCCUCCUACCUCAAUCCUACCCCAUUUCUACCUCAGCCACCCCAUUUCUACCCCACAUCCCACCCCAUCCAGCCACCCCAUUUCUACCCUUCAUCCCACCCUGUCAUGCCAGAUCACUUCUACCCCUCAUCCCAACCUGUCAUGCCACCCCAAUCCUACCCCUCAUCCCACCCCAUCCUACCACCCCACUUCUACCUCCCACCCUCAGUGAUGAAACAACACCACUCCUUCAUCCCAUCUGUCCAGCAGCAGUAUCCGACGGCCACACCUGCUGGAUUUUAUCACCAUGAUGAGUACAUGUGCAAUGGAGUGUAUUAUUCCACUCCCCAGCCUCCUCAGCACACCUGGCCACUUCUGGCAAAAAAC
ensembl:lncRNA